rnacentral:rRNA from 1 species
GAUGAACGCUGGCGGCGUGCCUAAUACAUGCAAGUCGAGCGAACAGACGAGGAGCUUGCUCCUCUGACGUUAGCGGCGGACGGGUGAGUAACACGUGGAUAACCUACCUAUAAGACUGGGAUAACUUCGGGAAACCGGAGCUAAUACCGGAUAAUAUAUUGAACCGCAUGGUUCAAUAGUGAAAGACGGUUUUGCUGUCACUUAUAGAUGGAUCCGCGCCGCAUUAGCUAGUUGGUAAGGUAACGGCUUACCAAGGCAACGAUGCGUAGCCGACCUGAGAGGAUGAUCAGCCACACUGGAACUGAGACACGGUCCAGACUCCUACGGGAGGCAGCAGUAGGGAAUCUUCCGCAAUGGGCGAAAGCCUGACGCAGCAACGCCGCGUGAGUGAUGAAGGUCUUCGGGUCGUAAAACUCUGUUAUUAGGGAAGAACAAAUGUGUAAGUAACUAUGCACGUCUUGACGGUACCUAAACAGAAAGCCACGGCUAACUACGUG